CGAACACUGGCGGCGUGGAUUAGGCAUGCAAGUCGAACGGUAUGGACCUUUCGGGGUUCAGAGAGUGGCGAACGGGUGAGUAACACGUAGGUAAUCUACCCUCAAGACGGGGACAACCCAGGGAAACUUGGGCUAAUACCGGAUGUGUGUAGUGGCUAUUUUUCUGAUUAUCAUUAUUUACGUAAGUGAGUAAUAAUAAGAAGGGAAAGUGGUUAUUACAUAAAAGGUGGCGUAAGCUGCCGCUUGGGGGAUGAGCCUGCGUCCUAUUAGUUAGUUGGUGAGGUAACGGCUUACCAAGGCGAUGAUAGGUAGGCGGCCUUAACGGGUGGUCGCCCACACUGGGAUUGAGAUACGGCCCAGACUCCUACGGGAGGCAGCAGUCGAGAAUAGUCUACAAUGGACGGAAGUCUGAUAGUGCGACGCCGCGUGAACGAAGAAUCCCUUCGGGGUGUAAAGUUCUUUUAUACGUGAGCAGUGUCCUUUAUAUUAAUAGUAUAAGGGGAGAGAUAUUAGCGUAUGAAUAAGCAACGGCUAACUCCGUG
rnacentral:rRNA from 1 species